AACACUGAUAAACCUUGGAUCGCAAAGGGACUGCUGAAUGCAUGUAAAAAGAAAAACAUUGUACAAGCAAUUUUUAAAACUCAGAACAACUGAAGCUGAGAGUAAAUACGAGGUCUGUCAAUAAACUAACCAAUACUAUGCGAUCUUGCAAAAGACAGUAUUACAGUGAUUUAUUGG